rnacentral:rRNA from 1 species
UACGUAGGGUGCGAGCGUUAAUCGGAAUUACUGGGCGUAAAGCGUGCGCAGGCGGUUUUGUAAGCCAGAUGUGAAAGCCCCGGGCUCAACCUGGGAAUGGCAUUUGGGACUGCAAGGCUUGAGUGCGGCAGAGGAGACUGGAAUUCCUGGUGUAGCAGUGAAAUGCGUAGAUAUCAGGAGGAAUACCGAUGGCGAAGGCAGGUCUCUGGGCUGACACUGACGCUCAUGCACGAAAGCGUGGGGAGCGAAACAAACGGUU